rnacentral:piRNA from 1 species
UCUCAUCCUAUAAAGCAAUUU